rnacentral:lncRNA from 1 species
AUGAGUGGUUUGAUUCCACGUCGUAUAAUAUCCUCAGGCACAAUACGUUUCCGUAUAAAGAUUUUGCUUUUAAAAUCCAGUUUCAUGUGUCCGUCUGCUACUGUUUCUCUUUUCAAGCUGCUUUUUUUCCUCAAACCAUUUCCUAAGGAAAUGUUGUCCGAGGAAGGAAACAACCAACUAGGCCAUAGCACUUGUCCCAUUGGAGAGAAUGUCCACCUCGAGCCGAAUGGGAGCAUUUCAUUUUCUUUUUCUUCCUGUAGUUGGAACCUCUGUUACCAUUCUCUUCUCCAGCAACCCUGCUAAGGCCAUCGAGGUGAAGGCAGAGGAGUGUCUAGGUGGGAGAAUCUGUGACUGGAGAACUGCAACGUGCACUACCUUGCCAGCAGUGAGAAACAACCCUCACAUUGCCCACUCUCAGACGUCUUCCUUGACACCUUUCGGUGACCAUAGGUCCCUGCGCUUGCUCCAUCUCCUGCUUCUGCGAUUUGUCUUCCACUGCUCCUGAUCUUCUUCCACUGUUCCUUCUCCUGUUCUUCCUCCACUUCUUUCUUCCUCCCCACAUCUCUCUCCACCUCUUUUGCCCCCAUCACUGCUUUCACCCCUCUUUCAUCAUCUCUGCUUCCUCCAGCCCUCUCCAAACUCCCUUACUCUAAGCACGGGUGUUCCAGGCCUGUACUCCUUUCUCUGCCACUCAUACAUCUCAGGGACAUCGUGCUAGACUUUCUGAACAUAAAACAAAUAUGUUGUGCAUUUAGCCAGAACUUUCUUGCCUUGUUGUUGCACCUGUAUGAAUGAGAAUUUUUGAGAAUCAGUGGUUUCACUAAAAUCCCUAUAUUUAAGCUCCAUGCCAAAUCAAAGCACACUCCCAAGAUGCUAAACCCCAAUGGUUGAGGGCGAAAGGCCAAUGGUACAUGUGGCUACGUGCCACAUGUCAUUGAAAGUGACAAUUCAGUCUGAUAGCUAUUGGAGAAAGAAUGCAAUGAGUUCUGUUUAAUUAUGUGAAUGAGAGCAUUUUUUUUUUCUGCCUUGAGAAGCCUGACUGCUCUGAGGUUGCUUCGGCACACGCAUACUGAAACAUAUUUGCAAAAAAAUCCUGAAAAUCAUGUGCCUACAAAGAUAAGAUUCGAAUGUUGAUAGGAUGAAAAAAGCCCAAAAUAUAGGACUGGUUUCAUGUACAUCUGUACUGCACAUGAUCAAGAGUAGGUCUAAAACAGAAGUACUAGCCAGCUUUGCAACUUUACUAGCCUUAACUCAGAUUUUUACAAUUCCCUUUGGAUGCUACGCUGAGGCCUUGCGGUAGGAAAUAUUUCCCAAUUUAGCAGUUCCCAUGCUCACUAUGCCCUGUGUAAUCUCCGCUUGGAUUAACAUAGGAUCAGUGCACCAGGAUGGAGACGGCCUGCACCUUUUUGGUGAUCCAUAUCUCUCUGUGUAAAAGAGAACACUCGAACUGUUCCAUCCCUUUUCAUAAAUCCUGAAGGGUUUUGGACAUUUGAAAGCUAGUGGUGCAAGAACUCUGCCCUCCCAGGAUUAGUGUAGCAUAAGCAGCCUCAAAGUGAUCCUUCUCUUCACUACCCCACUCUUGUACCUCCACUCUGUCCCAUGGAGUGGGGCGUGUGUGUGGGGAUCCCCCAGUGAGAGAAAAAGCCAGAAAUGAGCUACAAACAUGGCAGCUGUGAUUACACAGAAGUUGGAUGGAAGAUUAGAGCGAAAUGUUAUCCUUUAGACCAUGGGAUAGGCUAAGUAUAAUGCACACAUGAACUAAAUGUGAACCGGGUAAAACGUUUAUCUGAAAAAAUUCAGAUCAUUCACCUUCCUGUAGCCUCAUUAUAUUGCAGAACACAGGGCACAGUUUUUAUUUAUUCUGCACUAGAAUGGAAAAAAAUCUGUUUUUUACAAAGUGUUGGAAACUGCUGCGAUAACUUGUUGAAAUAUAUAGCGCUAUUGUGCUUCUUCACUCAGUGUAAUGUGCAAUAUAAUUUGCAAUUAUAAUUGAUAUUGUUUGUUUAAUCUUUGUAAAUAAGAAAUGUAUUUAAAUUGAAGGGGAGCUUUUUUGUUUUAAAAGGACCAAAUGUUCUUUUAUAGAUGUUUUAAGGUAUAUUUUGCUUUCUGAAAUAUUAGUGUUUUUACAAAUAAUUUUUAUUAAAAGAUUAUCUUUUUUGAAUUGUCACUCCUUUUUUAUUUAUGGGGAGAGCUCGGUUCCUGGAUGAAGGAUGAGGGGGCGGUUUCUUCCAUCUUAAGCUGGCAAGACUAUGAAAUGACAAUCACUAGUGAGUUUAAGUGAUCUUGGG